rnacentral:rRNA from 1 species
GACGAACGCUGGCGGCGUGCUUAACACAUGCAAGUCGAGCGGAAAGGCCCUUCGGGGUACUCGAGCGGCGAACGGGUGAGUAACACGUGAGUAAUCUGCCCUUCACUCUGGGAUAGCCACCGGAAACGGUGAUUAAUACCGGAUACGACCAAUCCCUGCAUGGGGUGUUGGGGGCAACUUUUUUGGGUGGGGGGUGUGCUCGCGGCCUAUCAGCUUGUUGGUGGGGUAAUGGCCUACCAAGGCUUCGACGGGUAGCCGGCCUGAGAGGGUGACCGGCCACACUGGGACUGAGACACGGCCCAGACUCCUACGGGAGGCAGCAGUGGGGAAUAUUGGACAAUGGGCGGAAGCCUGAUCCAGCAACGCCGCGUGAGGGAUGACGGCCUUCGGGUUGUAAACCUCUUUCAGCACCGACGAAGCGCAAGUGACGGUAGGUGCAGAAGAAGGACCGGCCAACUACGUGCCAGCCGCCGCAGUAAGAC